ensembl:snoRNA
AUCCUUUUGCAGUUAUGCAUAAUGACUGGGUUUUCACGCUUAUGAAUGAGAUGUGCCUCCCUCAAACAUUGUUAUAUGUCAGUAUAUUAUGCAUCUGACA